rfam:Lachnobacterium bovis DSM 14045 genome assembly, contig: IE72DRAFT_scaffold00001.1
UAUAACUUAUUUCUCGAGAAGUAAAAUGCGUAAUAAACAUUUAUAUUACAAAGUGCUUCCUUUAAUACUCCGAAUAGCAUCCUUUAUUUUGCACAUUAUAAGAUGUUAUAAGCUCGGUAAAGUCGACUGAGAGCCACCCUAUCACGUUAUGGUGAGGAAAUGCGAACUAGAGGUAGUCGAGUGGAUGAUAGGUCGGAAGUCUACAAA